GUAGGGGGCGAGCGUUGUCCGGAUUUAUUGGGCGUAAAGCGCGCGUAGGCGGCUGUUCAAGUCGGUAGUGAAAACUCGAGGCUCAACCUCGGGCUUGCUGUCGAGACUGGGCGGCUGGAGUCUGGUAGGGGGGUCUGGAAUUCCUGGUGUAGCGGUGGAAUGCGCAGAUAUCAGGAGGAACACCGGUGGCGAAGGCGGGACCCUGGGCCAGUACUGACGCUGAUGCGCGAAAGCGUGGGGAGCAAACAGGAUUAGAUACCCUGGUAGUCCACGCUGUAAACGAUGGGUGCUAGGUGUGGGGGGUUGUUGACUCCUUCCGUGCCGCAGCUAACGCAGUAAGCACCCCGCCUGGGGAGUACGGCCGCAAGGCUAAA
rnacentral:rRNA from 1 species